UACUCAUUUAUUAUUCUUAUUUUAAUUAACUCUAGUAAGGCUUAUUUCUAAUAAAAUCUUAGCUCCUCUAAAAUCUCUAAAUUCCUUAAAGUUUAUAUUUCAAGAGUACUGAUGCUGAUCCAUCUGAUCUGAGCCUUUUCUCUGAACAACUUCCAUAGGACAGUGCAGGACCUGCAGAGUUAUUGGGGUUUAUUGGCAUUAUCCUGGACUUGAAGAGCUUGCUUUUCCCCCAAAUUUCUGAAAAUUUUGGUCUCAUGCACCUUUUCCAUUAGACCAAUGCCAUUAAUUUUUAAUUCUGUCAAUCUGUCUUGUGGCAUUUUGCAUUUUAUAUUGUUUACUGUAUCAUAAGCCUAGUGCUGGAUUGUGUGACUUAAUUGGGCAAAUAACUAUUAUUCUCUUUUAUCAAAAAGUGAUUCUAGAUGUUCAAGCAUGGCUAACCUCUUAUAUUUUGGAUUGUUAUAAAAUCGAAUCUUACUAAUUAUUCAACCCUUUUUGAUCAUAUAGAUGUUAUCUCCCCGAAAGAAAUAAAUGCCAGACUUUUUUUUUGUUUUUUUGGUUUGUUUUCAGUACAUUCUUACCAUUGAUGAUUUUUCUAGUUCAUUCAGGUUUAACUCCUUCUUAAACUUUCUUUCUUAUGAUUCUUAUUGAGUAUCAUAUUCAAACUUCUGUGGUGUUUCCAUGAUUGGUCUUCUCUUAGCUAAUUGAAAAGAACUGUUUUUCACAUCCACCUCUGAUCAUAAGCAGUGUCCAUUUUAGUGGCGUGUACUGUGAAAAAGAAAACCAGCAUGUGACUUCUUGUCUCUACAUAUUUCAAUGCUGACAGGAAAAAAAGCAUUCUGCUCAGUUGUUCUACUCAGGUUUGUGUUGGUUUGGGCUUUUAACCUCUGAUACCCUAUGGUCUUCAGGAAUAAUUUCAGUCCUAAUAUUGUAGCUAAUCUGAAAUUAUUUAAAUUACAUCUCUUCCAUGAUUGCAGAACAGAUAGGGGAACAUUAGGAGAUGGGCAAAGAUUCCAAAAGAGGCUCUCACCCCGAUGUCAUUUUCCAGCUCUUUAUUCCAUGAGGUUCAGAGGGGAAAGAGUGGGAGAAAAGAGGGCGAACAGGAAAUGUCAGGGGUUUAUCUAUGCUCUGGACAGGGGGUUUAUCUAUGCUCUCCGCCAACCCUGUGGGACAGGAAGGAGGGGACCAGGCUUAUCUGAUCAGAGUGACAGGGUCCCGGGGAAUGGGGAAAGGCAUAGCCCAAGUGCACUGUAACACUCUUCUCUUUUUUUUCCCCCUUUUUUUUCUUCUGUGUUUCUAAACUGAAUUUUGUCUUGUUAUUCUCCUAGAGUAGAGUUGUGGGGUUUAAGUUUUCCCUCCUCUCCCGUGAGUAAAAUUGGGUUAUGAUAUGCAAGGUGAUUUGGAGCAGAAAAGAAUAAGGGAUUGCAAUGGAGUCAAACAUUCCAUAGAAGUAGCAUUUUUCAGUCUACUUUCAGGGUUUAGCAUUAGAUUUGUGUGUUGUAGUAUAGAGCUGGAUGUUGUAGAAACUUCCAACAGUAGUAGUUGGAUGUCCUUCUGAAGCACAUAGGUCUUAUUUAAUAACACUUUUCUGAAAAAAGUCUGUAUAUUGUGCCCACAACAAGCAAGACAAGGAAUUCAACCUCUGAUUAAAGGUCCCAAAAAAGUUAUUGUGGGAAUUGAGCUGAGAUAUAUGUGCAGAUGCAACUGCUAUAUGUAUCAGAAUGUCUUGUGCAAACCAAAAUUAAAAGUUGGUAGUUACUGUAUUUGAGCAAAUUUAGAGUCUGGAAGGCUGAUGCAUCUGGAUCAUACAAUUUUGUAUCUGUUAAGAGGUUACAGGCCUGUGUUACGUUACAAAACUACAGGAGCAUGCAGUAUCCCACAAGGCUAUAGGAAAUGCACCUGACUUACUGAGAAACAGAAACACCACCUGUGGCUUUCUAGCAAUGAGAUUGUUUCCUAAGGCAAUAGGAUGUUUUGCUAAGAAGGAUGGGUAGAUUAUGUUGAACUUACCUUGAAAUUUGCCUCCUUUAAACAUAAUAUUGUGUCAUGUUUGUUUGCUGUAAGACGGUAAUCACAUCUCUGCAUGUUCUCCUGCAAAUAGGUCUGCAUCAUGAAUUGCAUCAUCAUAUUUAUUGCUUGCUGCUUCUAGGGUUAUUAGAAAUGCUUUCCAGUUACAGACUUACAGACUUAAUUCUACAGUUCACCCACCUUGUCACCAUGUAACUUGCCAUCCUCACAAGGUUGCAUAUCUGAUCUUAUGACUGUUUUCUUCCAUACAAGAGGUGACUUUGAAAUGACCUAAAACAAUUGCUUUACUGUGUGUGGCAGUUGUGAAAAAGCACUUAGGUCGUGGUGCUCAGAUAGCAGGGUCUGCCAUUCAUGUGAGGAUAUGGAAACUUCUGGGCUCUCAGCCUCUGCAAACAGAUGGAUCAUACUUUUCUAACUUAGUAAAAGCUUGAAGACUUGGCAAAAAUAACUAGGUAUUAGUUUGCUGAAAAGAAAUUUGGCAGGGCUGACAGUGGAAGCUAGGAAAAUAACGACCAAAUGUGUUAAAUUUUGAUCCUAGGCAACCAAAGGAUAGAUCUCCUCAUUACUUGUGUUAAGUCUCUGUGGUCACUUGGAGGAUAAUAAUGGGACAAAUAACAAUCCAGAUGGAUCAGUCAUAUCAUGAGUAUAAUCAGUCAUAUAAUCUUGCUUGGUUUCACUCCUUGAUUGGAAAGCUAAUUAAGUAUUAAAGGGUUGUAUACCUUUCUAAUUUCUCUUUCAUUUAAUUCAGAUAGUGCAGUAGGGAAUCUCUGCUUUUCAGAAAGAUUUAACAACAGCACACAGGCAAAGGAGACUCCACUGCAGCAUGCAAAUAAUGACUGUGGUCUUACCUCUGCAGAAUCUUGUUUGAAUUGAGUAAAUACAGUUUAUUGGGCUGAGUAUACACAGAUUAUCUGACUAAUUUAUGUAUAGUAAUGCUAAUGUUGUUUUUGAGGCCUGUCCCUAAGCGCAUGUGCUUUAAAGAUGGGACUAUCUUAUGGCAUUCUUGUGUGGUUUGCCAGUUAUUUUUUAUUUUAUCCAAUAAGUCAUCUUUGAAGGUAGGGUUGCAAAUAAUUUCCUGUUUGUUCUGAGAUUCCCAGAUGCCUAACGCUGUAAAAUAUUGUAAGUCAAAGCAUGAAAUCCUAUAUAGAAAAAGGACUUCAGUCAUAAUGCAUCUUUUGCUGCUUAGCAUCAAUCGUUAGCCCACAGAAAGUCAAUAGGAAAUAACCUGACUGUUAAUAAGAUCAUUAGCAUCAUGUAACUAAAAGCAGAAUCAGGUUUGUACUUCAAGAAAGUUCAUUUGUAGAAGACAAUUGAAAUAACAGGAUGGUGGUUUUCUGUUUCACCUUUUGGAGAGAGAUUAAAAUGAUAAUAAUUUUGUCCUUACAGUGAGUUCCCUGAAGGUCACUAAUUUAAAUUAAAAAUACCAAAUGUUUUUGGGAUGGAUUAGAAACUUUUCCUAGAGCAUGUUAAUAGCUCUUCAAUGAAGGAACAAUCUUCCCUUCUCUACAGGGCAGUUCACCUUAUCAAAUUUUUUUUUUUAACCAUUAUUGUGAAGACACGCGUGGCCAAAAUAUCAUUGUCUGUGUAUUUUUCUUAUCUUUCUCUUCUUAAUAGGAAGUUGGAGCCCUCAGACUUUCUUAACGUUGAUUUGAUGUUGUUUUUGUAAGCAGAACAAACUUCCUUAAUCAAUAAACCAGAAAAACUGAUAGAAUCUACUUUCCAAAACUGUUUCCAGAGAUAGUGGAAAGCACUCAGUGGAGACUUUUGGUAAUUUAAGCUGUUGAGUUGGCAGCCUUGGCCACUCUCUUUCCCACUAGGGUGGGGAAUACAAGCAUUUCCAUUCCUACUAUAACUACACAUUUUGUCGCUGAUGACUGAAUGGAUAAGAUGCAAAGAUAAAGGAAGUAGCUGAAUUACUAUGCUUAUUUAAUCUUUUAACUAUUGAGAUUUCAGAAAUAGUUCCAGUUAGAAUAAGUGUAACUUCAGUCUUGGCAUUCAUAUGAAUUAAAUGUCACAAAUUAAUCAAAUUCUUUAUAAUGACUUUCCUACAAGGAUUCUAAUUCUGCUGGUUUGACUUGGUCAGAAGCUGCUGUAUAGAAGACUCCUUGAGAACUCUAGGAUCAACGUUUGGUAUUUGCCUCAGUUCAGUAAUUGUUUUCUUUUAUGCGACUUUUUAGAGUGCUCUGACAAGGAAGGAAUGAACAGCUUAUCUUAUCAGGAUUUAUAGUCAAUAGCUUCUGUAGUCUUGUGAAGAAGACAUCUGCUGUGCAAAUAGCAAGGUUAAAGUGAUUGCACAUGAAGUAAAUACAAACUUCAGCUAGUAUUUCAUCCUGAAAACCAGUCUGAACAAUACUUAGAUAACUUCAUGUAAUGAAAGCCCUUUCAUAAUCUUGACCCAUAUACAAUUUUUGUCAAAUCCAAGGUCAGAUAGAAUUUAAAAAAUAAGCUUUAUUUGAACUUCUGUAACCAUGAUUUCACAAUUGUAAGCAUGCUCUUAAAUAAAAAAAAACCAAAAAGCACUAGUAUUGUGUUGUGGGUUUUAAAAAAAAUUCUUAUAUAAGUCUCGGAGUUAGAUCAAUUGUAAUAGAAAAGAAAGUAUUAUCUAUUUGUUUAGGAAAUAUCUUCUAAACCAUUGCAGCAGCAGACAAAAGGAGUUCAUUUCAAAUUGAUUAAUGUGCUAUAAGUACCUGGAAUUGCUUGGUCUAGUCACUUUGUUGCUUUCUCAUCUCUCUGAAAAAUCAAAUGGAGCAUCUGAAGAUACCUGAUUGAUGCAGUCAGCUUUGUACUGAUAUUGCAGUACAUUUCAGGAAAUGUUCAAAGUGGAGCAAUAAUUUUCAAUCUAUUUUCAAGCAUGCCGCAGUAAAGUUUUUCUAUCAGAUUAUACAAAGUCCAUUUCCUAAAGAACUGUGGAUUUUUGUGUUGUGCAUUUGUGGGCAGGUGCUUUUACGUAUGGACCUUGAUAAAUAUGUAUGAGAAAAUGAUGUGUUGGUGAUACUGCCUACUGAUGUACUAUGCUGAGGUGCAUUUUUUCCCUCUGUAACUCAUACUGCCUCUUUUUCUUGUAUAAAAACUUUAAUUAUUUUAUUUUCUCAGAAGCCAUGUGUAACUUGGUUUCAUUUCAUGAAGUGUGUACAAAUUUUCCAAAUCUUGCUGCAGAAUGUUUCAGGACCAAAUCCGGUAAUUAAUUGGUAAGAAUGUUGAAGUACAGGAAACUGUAACAAAGAAGAUUAUUUUCCUCCUUAACAGAGAAUUUAGACAAGAUAGUAUUACUAAUUCCUAUAUUUGUUUUUCUCAGCUUGCAAGGAAAACAUGAAUUACCUUAAAUUAUUGAUUCUGCAAAGUCUUCGAUGUGGAUGUGAUGUGGCCAAAAGAAGUUCAUGCACCUAAGCUUCCUGAAGCUGUAUAAAAAUCUUACUGUUGAUUUGGUUUCUUUAUGAAAGCAUUCAGUGAAAUAAAAACAUAGCCUUUAGUAUCCAUAAGCUGUACAUGCAAACUCUGCAGGAGAUCUUGAGCUGCAAUAAAGGUGAAAAUGCAGAAAAACUUUAAAAUUCCCUCAGGAACCCCCUCCAGUUCAUAGCAGAAUGGCUGGCUGCUCGCCAUGCUGUCACUGGCUGCUGGCCAGCACCAGCACUCUGUGACCCCUUCUGACACAGCUUGUAGCGGCUGGAGGAUGAGUUAAUGCUGCUUCUAGCACCAUUAAUGAAUCAAAUUUUAAAUGUGGAUUCUCAUCCACAGUGGUGUGAGAAAGUCCAUUGCUCUGAGAAGAGACCAGGAAAGAGAAACAUUCUCCUAAAUUUAGAUUUUGUGUAGCUGAAUAAAAGGUAUCUUUUUCUUCUGAUCAACCCCAUAAACAACACUGUUGGCAUCAUUUUUAACAACAGCAUGAGAAAAGAAAUAACUGAUUUUAUUAGCAUAUUGCCAUGAUUUGCAUAGCAUAUUUUGUAUGUGUACUCUGAAAACUGCCUGAUACAUAGUUUUCAGUGUUGUUCUUUCUUAGUCUAAAAUACAAUGGAAUAUCCUGGUUCAGGAUGAAAAGUAGCAGAAUACAUUUAAGCCUGUACUUAACUUCCAUUGACUGUAAUUAAGUCAAAAAAAGACUUGUGAAUUCUAAUAUGCAUAGGUAUUCUCACAUAGAAAUACUUAGGAAAGAUUAUUUCAAGAUAUUAGUCCUCAAAAACGGAAUGCUGACACUCUUAAAAAUUUAUUGAACACAUUUUGUAAAAAGUAUUCUGCUGUCUUUAGAGAACUAAAGCAAUUGUGUCUUGAAAAUCUGGAAGUGGAGCACAGACAUGAUGAAAUUAGUCUCAAGAUCAUUGAUAUAAACCUUAAAUAGGGUCUCCUAAUGAUAAUGAUUUACCAAAAUUAUUUCUUUUAAGUAGCUGAAGCAGUAACACAAGUGAAUAUUCUUUUGCAGUAUAAAUUGUGUUCAAUUCAGUCUCUAUUUUCUUGCUUAUUGCUGCAGCAAAGGAGGCAAAACAGUUGCAUAAUCAAGUCUUUAUUGUAUGGUGUAAUUUGCAUGUUUUCUUUAUUGUUUCAGAACAAUCACAAAUUAUUAUGAAACACUUAUUUUCAUGCUAGUUGGACGAUUGGAAGUGCUGAGUGAAUUUUUCUGUAUUUUGGAGGUUGUGUGAUAAGGAAAUAUCAAAAGGCACUCUAGUUUGUCUAUUAUACAAUAAAGUAUAUUUUCCUCUUUUUUUAACCUUUAGCAAAUGCAGCCUGAUUCUUUUUUGCUGAGGUGAUUCUGUGCCACAGAAGUUAUCAAUAGCCCUGUAUCCUGAAUACCUUCCUUCCUACAAUAUUACUUGUACAAAAUUGUACUUGUAUGAGCAGGGCCAUUGUUUUCAACUUGACUGCUUACAGGGAUGUGCUCUCUGUAAACUUGGCCUAGUGAGACCAACUGCAAUGUAAAUGGAAAAUUAUUUUCUUGAAUUUACUGCAACUCUGAACUAGGCUCACAGUGGUACUAUUUAGGCUCCCCCAUGCUGUUUGAAAAUUUACUCUUCAAAAGGAAAAGGCAUAAUCAAUAAAAAGGGUUGUUUGUUGGUUUUGGUGUUUUUUUGGUUUGAUUUUUUGGUGUUUUGGUUUUGCGUGAGGUUGUGAGUUUUUUAGGGUUUUUUUCUGUUUCUAUGUGGGGGAAUGUCAAUGUUGCUUAAUAAAGUUGUUACUGACAAGAGCAGCUCUGAUUUUAGUCUGAUCCUGUUCUGAGGCUUGAUUAUCAAAGGCUGUUCCACUGCCCUGUGCUAAUCACAGAUCAAUUUGUGGCCCUGUGUGGUUUGUAGUCCAGUGCCCCACAACAGCUUCAUCUCACUACACCACUCCUGUUCUCUGUGUGUGGCUAAAUAUUGUAAGCAAAGGACCAAAAUAUCAUAGUUUCAAAAAAAUUCUGCCUCCAGUUUUAGGCUAUUUUCUCAUGGAUUGUAACAAAAGACAGUAAUUUUCAGUGUUCAGAUGUUUGCAGUUCUUAAUUUAAUCUAAAUUCAAUCAUUUAUAGAAUGCUACAGUUUGGCUAAGGCAUUUUUUGGAUGUAAUAGCAUAUGGCACUGGUUUUCUUCCAGUUCUCUGAAUAUGUUUAUUUUUCUAGGUUAAGGGCAAUUCAUUCAAUCUAAAACUGUCUUUUUUUUUUUUUUUUUUUUUUUUUUUUUUUUUAAUUAGGGCUAGAGAUGUUUUGCAUGACAUUGUAGCACUUCUUCUCCAUUCUAUUUUUGUUUUGCAAAGUGACAUGCUGGGUCUGUGCUUGUAUUUGUUAGUGUUUGCCUUUGGUCGGCACUGUGUCAACGCAAAGCUUUAAAAACAAUAAAAUACUGACUUUGGGGGAACAGAAGGGUUGAAGGAUUGACUGUAUAUGUCUUUAAUUUUAAAAUUAUGACAAUAGUCUCAUAUACAAUUUAUAUUAGCACCCCUAUCAGCACUGAGCCACCUUCUCCCAGAAAGUACAUCUUCCAGACCUCCUGAGUACAUGAAACACUUCCCUCAAGAAAGCAAUUUCCCUGCAGAAUCAGUGAGCUUUGCCAUUUCUUUGUCCUUCUUGAAAUGUCCCGUGCUUCUGGCCCUUUAAUUUAAUGUGAGACAUUCCUGCACUCAGGCAGCAGAGACAGCUUAUGGCAGAGACAAAUCAGUAUUACGAGAAACAUGUAAUGAGCCGUACAGCCUGCAGAAUUCUGGACAGCAUAGUGGGGAGACACUUAAAGACAGCUUUCUCAAAGUCAUCUCAUUAGCCUGGGAACCAGGGCUAAGAGAUAAGAGAAUUCUUAAUCAGAGACUGGAACUUGCUUCUUAUGUUUAUUGGAAGCUUGUUUUUCUAAAGGUUGUACAGUGCAUUUUUCAAGAAGUCUGAUAGCUAAGCUGCAGUAACCUGACCUGUUUUUAGUUUCUAUCAUUACUGCUUGCAGACUGUAAACUAAAUCCCAAAUGGUAGUUCCAUACAACAUUAACUAGGAAUAUCUGAAAUUAACCAGAAUUUAUAGUAAGUUUGGAUUCUGGAAUCCUUGCAUUAGUAAUCCUCUGAAAUGAAAUUGUUUUCAUACAGGUAGUGCAACCAGAACUGGGCAGGGAAUCCUACUUCCCCCAAAAGCUUUUCUCCCAUGACUAUUUUAACAUUAAAUACAAAGUUGAGGGAGGCUUAAGUCUCAGCUCCUGAGUAACAAUUAUACUUUUCCCUUCAAAAGUAUGUUUUGGAACUAAUAAUUGAGAUCACUAUAUAAGGGUAGGAACUAUAAUUUUGUGAGAUUCCUUAAGUUAUUGGAAAAAGCUUUUGUUCUGGAAAGAGGAAGUGUGUAGGUAUGUAGGGGUGGGAGGGAGAGGGAAGGGUGCAUAAUAGUUCCCACUGUAGUACAAACUAUGCAGGAACAGAGCUAUCAGCAAAGUGGAAAAUAGGAAUCAGCUUUGCUUCUAAGGAAAACAACUCCCAGGAGGAAGCAAAAGUCCAUCUGUAAUACCAUAACUGCUGAUGUGCUGUUACUUCCCACAGCACAAUGAAAGUUCAGCUCAUUUUGUUUCUUAAAGAGGCACCCAUGAAAUUAUGGCAGUUCUCAUAUAUAGAAUUUAGCACAGGGCAUCUACUAAUAUAAUGAGUCACCAGCUGCAAUGUGUAUUUUCGUCUGUUUUCAUCUGCAGAAGGGGAGAUAACAGCAAAAGAAAUCUCAUGCAAUAUGGAAAGAAGGGUUAUUAUAGCAUUUUCUUAACCAGACCUCCUGCUCCAACACAGUCAUCUAAGCCUAUGACAUGCCAGAGAAUCAUCAGUGUAGAAGAGGUGACAUUUUCGGAGGGAAAAUUUUAGCCUUACUUCAGUGCCUAGCUACCCUUAUUGAACCCAUGCUUAUAGAUCUAUAUUUAUCUUAUUUUUUUGUUCAAAGCUUUGAAAUCUGUGUCUCUUAUUUAAGCCAGUAAAAAGGUGCUGAUGUUCACAUCUUGCCUAUGUUGAAGAGGCAGGAAUAAAUGUUCUCUUAGGGACCCUAGUGGGUGGACAUGUGAUGAAACUUCCUUUGACUUCCAUCCACCAAGGAAACUUACACAGCAAAGUGGAGGUGCUGGUGUCCAAGAGCCAUAUGUGAUGUGUGGCCAGGAAAUAAUGUGAACCUUUUGCCCCCAGAAAUACCCCAAAUGCAGUAUUUCAAAAUAGUGCAUUGGUAAGUAUUUAAGGUUGUAGUUAUGCUGCUGCUGUCACUUGUAGGAAGUAGGAAAGCUGAGGUGACAUGAGGUAUGAUCUCUGCUUUAUGCCAGUAGGAGUUUUGUGAACAUGAACUUACACUGGCAAAGCUGUUGCUGCUGUAAUCUGUUCUGUGCAUUAUGGCUUAACUGUAUUGGAAUAAUGCACAUCCCUGUUACGGUCACAGUAGGAAAGCAUUGGGGUAUCCCUGCACUGGAGUGCCUAUAGAAUGUGCAAAUGGCAGGCACGUUUCUGUAUGAGACACUAAUUCUUAUUUACUCGUGUUGCGACAGCUUCACAGUGGAGUCUGAGGCCCUUGCUUACAGGGUAAGGGAGAAAUUUAAAAUCCUGGAACAUCAGGGUUUUGCACUUACAGCUCUCAUCAGGAGGCUGCUGUCACAGCUGCUGGAACGGGUUGAUGUAAAAUAUGUUAGUUGAACGCCCCCUAGCCGAAAUAAUUUUCAGAACAUGGCUGAGACAAAGGUUUCCUGGGGAUUUCAAUAUACAGCUGGGGGGAAUGCCAGGUUCAAGCUACCUUGUGUGUUGGUUUCAGCUCAGCCAAGCCAAGCAUUACUCUAAGGAGUAAUGGAUACAUUUUAGUUAAUAUACUGAUCAUUUUAGAAACGUGUCUUGCAUUAAAAAAGCAAUUUUCAUUUUUUGUUCUGUUAAUUAAGUUGGUACAAAUUUGGACAUAAGUGGCUGUGCUUGCAAAACUCAUCUGAAAGCUAGAUUGGCAUAGCUGUGUUCCUACUUUAGAGCCGAAUUAAGCAAUCCUACAAAUUCAAGUGUCAUAGAGCUGUGUGCUUUCUCUAGUGUCACGGAUUGCACAGAUACUCCUCAAAGCAAGAAAACUGCCUUUUAGUAAAUUGACUGAACUUCGAAUAAGCCAAUAGCUUUGGUUCAUCUUCAUUGAAGUGGACAUUUUAAUACAGGGAAAGAAAAGAAGGAAAACCUCCUUAUAUGUAGUUAAGACUUAGACUUUAUUCUAUUAUAUACACAGGAUGGCAUUGAUUCUACCUUUUCCUUGAUCAGAUUUCUCAGCAUAGAUCCAUCCACAGGAAUUUCUCACACUGUAUACAUUCGGGAGAAGUUUUGAUGUAUCCAGUUAAUGAAUGAUUUCUCUUGCCCAUGUUCUCUCUUUCUCUCCUCUCUCUCUCUCUCUCCCUCUCUCUCCGUAAGUCUCAUUUUUAAUGUCAUGUUAGAGGGAAAUACAUGGCCAGUUUAAAAACUCCAAAGCUACACAAAAUUAAAUAUGUCAGGUGAUACACUUAACUCGUACUUGAUUUUGGACAGGCUUGGCUGUGAGAGUUUUUUUAACCACUAAAAAGUGUCACUUGGCUAGGAAGUGGGUGACAGGUUUGUUGGUCAUACAGCCCUUCCUUUACAAUGCUGACAUCACUGCUUACAGAACAGUUUUUGAGGAUGAAGUAGUAUUGUAACAGUAGAUUAGCCUGGUAUUUGCAAAAAUCAAGCUAUUGAAGAUUAGAGAUUUCCUUUCUGACAUUAUCAAAUGAGGUUUUGUUGCCUUACAGUUUUCUAUGCUUGUAAGAGUGCGUGAAAAGGUGGACUGUUACCACAAGCUGUCUAUGUAUUAUUCUUCCUCAAGCAGAGUAUACAGAACUGAGCAGGAGUAAUUGAUAAUAGACUACAGCAAAUGCUAUCUUCAAGUUUACCACAAGCAUAACAAAACUAUAUUCAGUAUGUCUCAACUGCUAAUCAGCUGCAGUUGCGAGAAAAAAAUACUGACAGAGGUUCAGUAUUUCCAUCCCCUCCAAUUAGUGCUGAGCAAAACCUGGUCUCCCUUGUAUUUCAAAAAGCAAAAAGUAAGCUUUUAAGCAACUUGUAAAACAAUAUCCUCUUGGUAUUCUGCAGAAUGUGUAAAAGCAGCAAAAAGACACAACUGCUGUUUUUCCUUUGUGAAUCUCUAUUAUUAUCAGAGAUCUCUUUUCUCAUGGCUACAACUGCAGUAGGCAAGUCCAAAAGCUGAUGUUGUGUCUUUUAAGGGCCCACAUAUUUUUUUGCCUCUUUGAAGAAACCAAGACUAGGAGACACAUGAUAGAGUACCUGAAAGCAUAAGGUAAUAGAUCCUUUCCAGCUGCAGCUACCUGGCAUUUUAAUGGUUACAGGUGUAUUUCCAAAAGUACAGGUUUUUUAUUUUAAAUGAAAAUCAAUGAGAUCAAAAAGUGAAAUUUGGAACUUACUUUUGCACAGUUAUUUAUGAAGUGUGAUCAGAAUAUGUAGUCUCUUAGUAAGACUACAAUAACAAGGCAUGGCAAUCAUCUGAAAAAAUGCCUUUACUUUCUCACAGGGUUUUUUUUGGUUUACUUAUUAUUUUUGUGUGUGUUUUUUUUUCCUGUAUUAAUUAGUUUUUAUUAUAAUUUGAAAAAGGACAAAAUUACAUUUCCUUCCUUCCUUCCUGUCUGCCUGUCUGCCUGCCUGCCUGCCUCUCUUUUUGAAUCACACUGAUAAUAGGCUGCUAAGUAGUAAGGAAUUAGUACUUUUAUCAGGUCAUCCAUUUUAAAGCAGUUAUCUAAAGCGUGCUGCAUAUGAAAAUCUCCGACGACUACACUGAUAUUUGUAGUUUUUGCAUAAAAGAUUGAUGGGUGCAUCUUUAUAUAUAUUUUGUGUAUACUACUUUCAGUUAUGAAAUGAAAACACUUCAGAAGAUUCUUAGACUUGAAAAAUCAAGAAAAAUAAGUAAGUUAGACAAUAGUUUACAUGUAUUAGUCUUGCAAGUCUUGAAUAUGCCGAACUACAAUGAUUAUUGUCAAACAUUACUGAACUAACUACCUGCACUAAAAUUAAACAAAGAUGACCCAAACUAUGAAUUGCUAUAUUAAUAUUUCUGAACCGUUAUUAACUAAUUCCGCUACCACCAGUACUUAGUUACUGAUGCCUAAAUCUAAUACAAUUGCUAUUUUGUAUCAAAGUAGCAACCCAUUAUAAAGGAAAUUAAAGUUCAAGCUGUAUUAGUUUAGCAUGUGUUUAAAUCAUGCUGCCAAGUUACUUCUGCGUUUAGCUAAAUAGAUAACUUUGGUCAUGAAAGCGCAGCAAAAGAACUUGACUCAAUACUUAAAUACUUAUAGUCAUGCAAGUUCGAGUCAGGAUUUUGGCUUAUCCCUGAAAUUGACAUUUUUACUACAAAGAUCUUUGUUUGGAUCCCAAUUCUUUAAAAAAUCUAGUUCUAGACCCUUCUGUAAGAAAAUAUCAAUAUGAAGUCCUUCUGUUACAGGCACUACAGUAGCAUGCUCCUAUUACAAACAGAUGGGUUAUCUAAGACUCAGUGGCUCAACCAUGAGGUUUUGUUGCUGUUAGAGUGUAAUCAAUCAGGAGGGAAAACUAUUUGGUGCUUGUCUAGUGCUUUAGUAAUUCAUUCGCUAUAGAUCCUCAUUAGAACAGAAAAUUACAGCUGUAGCAAUGUCUUAGUUUCAAGAAACAGAAGCACCUUUUUCUUUCCCCUCUUUUCAAAAUAAAUGUUCCAUGGUUAUAGGUGAAGGACAUGAACAUUGGAAGAAAAGCUGGUAACUUAUUAAUUGCAUUUUUAGCCAUUGGGGAAGUUCCCUGCUCUAUACAGUUGUGCUGGUUGCUACUUUAAGUUCUCUCUUCUACACUGAUUCGAGAGAAAGAACCAAGCCUGAGAAUCAGUUACUGUUGGAAGUAAUGACAUAACAAAUGUUAUGAAGGGUCACAGGAAUUGCAGCAUUUAUUUCCUUUGCUGACUGUUUUGUGAAAAGAGAAAGGAAAAUUUAAAAAAUUAGAAAUCUUGAAAAAUCAGAAGUCAGAACUCAUAGGGUUUCACAUUAUUUUCCUACAGAGAGCAAGGAAAUUGGCCAGAAUUUUUUACCACUGACAUGUUAUACUAUGAAUCUAAUCUACAACUAUUAAAGUUUAGUGCAAAUCUAACUCAGCUCUGCAAGUGUGAACAGUGUUUGCAUGGUAGAAGAAAUGCUAAGAGUAGGCCUCUGCUAGAGUAUGCAUGUCCUCUAAUGAACCACUCUCAAGUGUGGGCUGAAGAAGAAAGAACGUGCAGGCAGAAUAGGUGUCUCUCAGAAGACAGGAUUAAAUGAGAGAUUUAUGUCUCUGAGGUAGCUGCUCUGUGGCUAUUUUCCUGCAAUCACACUUGAGCAUUGAGAUAACCACAGAACUGUAUUUCCAUAGCGCAUCUCUUGGCUUUCCCUCUCACUGCAGUCUAUAUUUCUAAUGGGAAAUACAGAUCAGGCAAAGAGCUUCUGUAGAUUUGAAGAAGGUUCCCUUGCUUGACCAAGGACUGAAUGGCUGAUAACAUACCAAUGUUAGGCCAGACUUAUGCAGGCCAAAUUCAAUCUGUAAUGCAACAUCACUAAAGCUGAUGGACAUGGUCCCAUUUGCAUAACACAUGCAGAAGUUUGAGACUUCACUGUUCCUGGAUGUCAGUCUGCACCUUGCACUGAUGUUGCCACCCCUGAGGCAAAGCUAGCACAACAAGAUAGGUGAGUUUGCAUCUCCUUAUAUACUUUUCAGCCUGAUGGAUUAAUGCAAAUUCAGCUUCAUUGUUCAUGUAAAUUAAGAUAUCGGGUUUAGACUGACUUUUAGCCAUUUCGAGAGAGGUGAGGACUUUUACCUUUCUGCUGUCCUCUCUUCAGGGAACAGCUUGCAGAGAUAGGUAACUUAAGAGCAGCAACACUGAUUUGCACUAAUAAACUUGUAGAGCCUUCUCUAUGCAAGAUGUACAUUUGAAUUAUUUUCCUUAACUAUUAAUGGAUCUUCAACGCAUCUUCUCAAAAUUAACAAGAGCAAAUAAUACUUUUGUAAUAUUCUUAAGGAACAGUUUUUUAGGAAACUCCUGGCUCUUAAUGAUUACUGGGAUAGCUGACCUUGGAUUUGUAUCUAAAGCUAUUAGAAUUUUGACUGUUUCCAAUUACCACUUUAAGUGAUAGUCAGAUCAACAUGCCUUGUAUAUUUAGCAAGUCUAGGCUUUUGGAAGCUGCUUGAGAUUUGACCUUGCUUUUUAAAUUACUCAGAAUAAUUUCACAUAUCUAAUUAGUGUUCACUAAUUCAACUCACCUCAUCUGACAUUAGUCCACUAAAGUAACUCAAGAAGUUUUGUCUAUUGUUUUAUAUUCCUGUCAGUUCUACAUGAAUAAAGAUUCAAAAAGAGAAUUGGCCUAAACAGAAACUAUAAACCAGUGAGUGAAUCAUGUGGUCUUUAUAGCAAUUUUAUCUUGGCCAGCAAAUUGUCAUGUGUCACUUUUAAGUAAAAGAAACUCAGGAGGUAGAAAGGUCUGGAGGGAGAAAGGGAAAAAAAAAAAUCUAUGGUAUGAUUGUAGGAGACACCAUUUAAUCAGCUAGACCAGUUAAUAACUCUUUCUGCCUUUUUUAUUUGUCAAGGGCUCAAUAUUUUUUCAAUAUGAGGUCUGCUUCAGUGUGCUUUAAAUGGCAGUUUAUAAUUAAUGGUACUUGAGCAUCUCUUAUUUCAAAAAUUCAUACAACAUUCUUGGUUACAAUUUAUACAUGAUUUUAAAGUAUAAUUAAUGUUCAGCUUACAAGAUAUAUGCAAACAGAUAUGCAAAUUAUUAAAUAAAUAUGCAAACAUAUAAAAUGUUGUUGAAUUAAGUAGUCCUUAACAUUUUUAAUGAAAUCAAUAUUUUAUUCAUAUUUUGCACACGAUUUUGACUACUUAGUGAUUUGGUAGUUCUCAGACUUUUGUGGACUGUGGCUGCAGAUUGAGUCUCAUGUGGCUCAUCUUGUCUUCUACUCUCCUGAAUCUCAUACUUUCUUUAUGAAAAACAGGAGCUAAUCCAAACCCCUCUAAAUUAUUUGGAUUGUCUUCAAUUAUGCUUUGUGAAUAUUUGGAAUAGUAAACUUAACAUGUUGCUGAAACAGUUGAAAAUAAUCUUUAUAAAAACUUUCAUAUUGAAUCACAUUAAAGGUUUGUCUAGCCUAAUAUCCUAUUCCUAGAAGUAGCUAAAUAAAAAGGGAAAGAUAUGAAAAUAUACAUCAAGUAUAUCACCUAGGUGUUUUUUGAGCACACAGCCAACUGAGUAAAAAAAUGCUUGUUUGUAUAUAUAUGUCUAUGUGUGUGUGUUUGUAUGAAUUCUGUCUAUCUUUGUAUAUGUAUAUAUAAAAAUGAGAAAAAUACGGCAAACUUUUUUCACAGGAAGGUAGACUGUUGGUUUGUAUUUCACAGGAAUGUAGACUGUUGGUUUGUAUAAGCAAUGAUCUGUACAUUUUACAUAGGUCUUCUGAAAAAAUUGCCCUAAGGAAAGUGAUUCCACAUUUCAUUUAAUUUCUAAUUCCAGCUUUUGCAAGUUUUGAGCCAGUUGAAAACUUGGAUUUUUGCUGAUCUGAGUAAUAGAUAUAUUCUGGAUGUAUACAUAUAUUCUGUACAUAUCUAUAUUCUGUCCCUGACUGUGUUGGUGACGCACCAGUUUACCUGUGUCUUUUGAGUGGUAGAGAUCCCAACCCCAAAUACAGUAUUAUAGAUGUGGUCUUAAAAGUGAUGAGUUUCUCCUCCCUCAGUCUACUGAUUAUGGUGUUAUGGUCUACUGUUAUGGUGUCCAGGAUGAUGAGUGCUGUCUUUACCAGAUAUAAUGUGAGCUCACUGCUGCAAGCAAGGACAUUGCCUCACCUGCCCCAGCCCCAAGAAAUGGAUCCUGGCAAUCCCUGCAGCCCCUGAAGACUGGCAUCGUCUCCUCAAGAGCUCAUACAACGCAAAUGAUAUCUCUGAAGGACAUGUAGUUAAGAUACCCAUAUAGACAAGACACAAGAAACACACGGAGAAUCAUAUUCUUAUAACCACAGGUGAAUUCAGGCAUCUUGGAAGGCAAAAAAAAGAAAUUCAAAGCCGGAGUAGAAGAAACAGUUAAAAAUUAACGGACCACUUACUUUAAAGUUUGAAGGAAAGCAGUUAACAUUACUCUAUGAGGCUGAUAGUAAUCCAGCAAUUUUUUUCCCAGUGCAUGUGUCUUUCCUUAAAAUGCUUUUUUUACGUCUAUUGAAAGAUUAGGAAAAGAAAUCAUGCUUAUAAUGUUUUGAGUUGAAAAAUUCCUGCUAUAUUAGAAAUAUUUAAAGGGGCAGUUGAAUGCCGAUCUGACUUGUUAAUGAGCAGAUAUCCAAUAUCUUAGUUUUGCUUAGAUUCCUGAAUUCAUGCAAAUAUCAGUUACCAUCUCUAACUCUGCUUUUUUCACAUAAGAAGAAUGAAUGCUGUUGAGUGUGGUACCACCAGAUUACUGAACAGAAUUAGAUGUUUAGAAUUAGAUCUUCAGAAAGCAAGCAUGAAGUUUUAUUACUUGAAAAUUACAGUAGUUUCCAAGGUAAAAAUUGUAGGAUUGUUAUACAGUUUGUAACAUAUAAAAAGUAUUAUUUGAUGGACCAUUUUCUAUGUUUUGAAAUCAAUGACAUACAAAUGAUGGGGUUCAUAUGGGAAAUAUGAACCCCAUUCAUAUUUCAUAGCAGAUAUGAAUAGGGUAAAACCUUGAGACCUUUACUGCUUGAAAAAAGGGAGUACUCAUACUUUCAAGCUUUAUGUUCUGGAAGUUAUUAGUAGCUGAAAUGAAGAAUCUUAAUUUUCCUGUAUGUUAUACACUGACAUACUUGUAAAGGUAGUAUAUUUUCUUUCUCUUUAAAGCUGGGUGUGUAUUAUAAAAGCAGUUGCUUUCCACACUUUUUAUUGACUUAUAUCUUCAUAACUUUUGUUUAAACUAGUUUUGCAUCAAAAUACAUGAUGACACUGUAAUUCACUCUGCUGCACAUAUUUUCACAGGACUGCAUGUUGCCCAAGUAAUUCUGAUUAAACUUUCAAAAAUCUCUAGUGAGCAAAAUGCUGGUGCAACAAAUACCUGCUUUGUGCUUUUGGAGGAAACACAUAUAUUUGAGGAAAGGAAGAGAAGUUUUAGACCUGAUUCAAGCACUUCCGUGUAGUAUAACAGUACUGAUAUCUCUGUUUUGCUCUGUCCCUACAUAUUUGCUACAGCAAAUGCAAACAAAGAUCAGUUUGUUUACAUUUAAUGUAAGCAUUUAAUGUAAGUUCAAUGCUAGGCCUUCUUAGAUUACUACCUCUUCUUUUUAUGUAAGUAAGAAAAUAUAUGUAAAGGAAAUACAUGGUUCUCUAGGACUGUUUGAUCUGAAUGGAGUUUACUUUGAAAGUGGUAUUUUGGAAAUAAAUUGGUAAUAAUGCAGUUAUAAUACCAUUAAAUUGGUAUUGGAAUUAUUUUUGCUUUUUUGAAAUUGGUCUGCUUUGCUGUCUUUGCCUAGAGUACCUAUAGUCCCAAGGCUACUCUGCCAGCUGAGGACAUCUCUACUGCAGCACUAAAUGAAUGUUUGAUGCAUGGACUUACUUUUUGACAAUAACUUAUCUUAGUGACUUGUUGUGGACCUCCAAGUAAAAAGCACUGUCCUACUCUAAUAUUUCAAGAAGAUAAUCUGCAAACUCUGGCUGAUGGUGACCAUGCCAUAGGAGCCAGCAGGAGGUCUGCUAUGCUUUCUCAUGUGUAGUUGGUUAACCAUUAGCAGUUACCAAAAAUAGCAUUACAUGUACAUAUACAGUGAAAAAGAAGCUAAAAUAUUUUGGGGGAAAAAACAAUGUGAGAGUGGAAACUGUGACACAAGAAGGGUAAAGCUAUAAACACCCAUACAGAAGUUCUCUGUAUCAUUUGAUGGCUUUUGUACAGAGAAGUGGCUGUGUGGAAUAACAAGCUGUUAUACCUCUGAAUUUACCAUUGAAUAAAGAAUCCUCAAAACCAAACAAUGAGACCAUGAAUAAACAGUGAGCUGUCAGCUGAAAAGAAGCAAUGGAAAACUAGGAAGGGAGAGAAGAAUGAAGAGGAGUUGAUGCUGAAAAAACAGGUGCCAAAAAAAAAUCAGGGUUUGUCAGACUGGUAGGAGCAAUAGUCUCUAAUUCUCAUUAGCUCCAUAUACAGUGUAUGUUGUCAGAGUCCUUUGGUCCUACAUUAAUUUAUUAAAUAUCUUGAUAAACAAUUUAAUCUUCCCACAAGAUGUGCCAGUAGAGACAGAGAAGGGAGGAAGCAAUGUCUAGGAGCAGUCAUGUAACAAAGGCACAAAAUGCAACCAAGGGUUCUAAAAGUUUACUGAAACACAUUUCUUGUAUAAUGCAAUGAUCAGAUCAACCAUCAAUUAUUCAUCCUAGGACUUCUAUCAAUCGCCAAAGAACAUAAAGUUUUGAGUUCAGCCACUAUAUAUAUGUGAUCCUAAUAUUAUAGAGAUAGUAAAUAUACUUCAUUCUUUUUAUGCAGCUGAAGUGACAUUGAGGAGAAACUGUGCAAUUAUCCAGCUGUACUGACACCAUUAGGGAGCUUGUUCUGGAUCACAGGCAUAGAUGUGUGAGAAUGAUUUCAUUACUGAAACCACUACUAAGGGGAGGAAUUGAGGAGGUGAAAAUGGGCAGAUACUGAUUCUGCACCAGAAGGGAAGUGGGUGGAUAAACACACAGAGCUCCUUGCUGAACUACUGGGGUUGGCAGCUCCUUGGCUCCUGCACAUGCAAAACAUUUGAAUUUCCUGUUGGCUCAGAGAUAUUAAGUGACUGGAAAUCAAUAUUUGAAGGAAGGAGAGCAGCUGGGAACUUGGAGUUCAGCAUAGACGUGUUGCAUAAUAGAGAAUUCUUGUUUUCCAAGAAGCAAAGACAGGAAGAAUUAUCAUGUAGCCACUUUGCCUCCAGAUUUAAUUUUUUUUUAAUAGAAAAUAGUGGAUUCUUUUUGGGAGAACUAUCAAACAACAAAGUGGAUGUCGUAGCUACAUUCUGUAAAUGUCUCUUUAAUUUCACCAAUGGUAAAACCUGUUUUGACCUUCUAGUAAAAGAAAAUAGCCCAAAUGGCGUCUUUAAUAUACCAGAGAAAGCACAGUAUCUCCAAAGGGCCUGGCCUAAGUGAGCACCCAGAAUCCCAGCAAGCCAAGAAAUUUGAAGGCAGUCAGACUUGAUUUAAUUAUUUUCUACUACCAGUCUCAUUUGAGAGAAUGAUUAACGGGAGAAGAGACAUAAAUGGCAAAGUCUUGAUCAAAGAAGCUGCUGUCAGAGUACCAUCUAGAUAAAUUAGGAAAAGAAUGCUCAGGUUUCUGUGAAAGAAGACUAAUGACAUCAAGUCAAGAUGAAAUAGAAAGGAGCAGCAUUGCAGGCUGGAAAUCAUAAAAGAGUAGUGUGCCCUGACAAGAAGCCCUGAGAAAUUUCCUGAACUGGAAAGUAAUUGGAAUUGGAAAGGAAUUACUUUCUGUAAGUGCCGGGUCUUGAAGUUACGUGGGACUGAAGAUGACCCAGGCACUAAACUUGCUUUUUGGAACCUGUCAAGACAAGUGAAGAAAUCUUCUAGAAGCAUCUGAAACAGCAGCUGUUAGUAUCAGCUCUACACACUGCAGAUGUUCUGCAUCUUGUAUGCUCACUCUACUCAGCUAGGAUCAGUCCCUUCACUUAAAAGCUCAAACAGUCCCACCUGGAGGCAAGCAGACAGUGGAUGAAAGGAGACUCUGAAACUAACAGCUAGUAAGCAUUUGUGUAUUUUAUAGAACUUGUUUACAGGAAUGGCAGUCUCCUGGAGAGAGUAGUGGCCCUAGCUGAAAUCAAGAGGAAAGCUUUACAAGUGAUCUGAAUGUACUUGUGUGAAGAGAGGCAUCUUAGAAGAGUUCUUGAACAGGAGGUAAUCUGACACAAAGCAUAUUUACACCAUAGGGACCUCAGUUAUUUUGCUUCUGCCCAUGGGAUCCCGCUUCAAUUGCAGCUGUUUGAAUUAACAUGUUUCCUUGCUGCAUCUCCUGGCUGAGGGAAGUGCAAGUGCUGUCAUGGCCAGCAGAACAGGCAGAACUGAUCCAAGAUAUAAAGAGUCCAAAGUCUUGCUCAACUGUUCAUGGAUAACAAGAUACCUGAUGUAUUACUUCAUCAGCAAAUUCAACAAGGCCAAGAUGUCUUUAUUUUCCUUCAGAGCAAGAGCUGUAAGAGCAGUGUGGUGGAAGUAUUGGUCUUCUGUGGCCAGCCGGUGAGAACCCAUCAACAGCUGUGAUGAGCAGAGCAGACACGGGAGACAGGAGGCAGCUGAAGCCAAAGAGGACCCACGCCUGGAGCUGUGUCUGUGUGAUUGGAGCAGAGAGAGGCCAGGACCCAAGGAAAUCCCAGCAGCAAGGGAAAAAAACAGAUUGACUCUCAGUGACUCAUUUAGCUCCUGGAUUGGACAGAUCUCUCCCCUGCUGGCAAUUUGGCUGAGCAUCAAUGGACAGAUACCAGGAUGAAUAGCUUAAAAUAAUUAGGGGUUGGGAAUUUGCAAAACUGCUAGCCAUCCAAUUCUUUACUGUGCAAUGCGAGGCAGAAAAAAGAAAUUACAUUUAGGUUAUUAAAUAUUAAGUCAGUGGAUUUACUCCCAUUUGGUGCAGAACAGGAAACUGGCUAAAAUUCAACAUUUAUAUCAUUGUGUUGAUGGUCUGUUUAUCACUGAGCAAGUAAGUGCCUUUUGGCAGGUCAAGCUCUUUGACACAUGGGGCAAAUGUGUGCUUAAUUUCUCCCAAACAGAAGUAUUAAUAUAAUAAUAAUAAUUAACACAAAUGAGAACAGAAUUAAAAUCAAGUACAGUCAGGAGUUCAGUUUAAUGCCAGGUGUCUCGCAUUCUAGAUGUUCUGUGACCAGAUUUUUCCUGUUGAAGGUAGCAAGGGUGUUGCCUUUGGCACUUAUGGGAUCUGAAGUAGGCCUUGGAUGUAAAGAGACUGUACUUUCUAUUCAGUGCACAAAACCAGAAGCAACAGGCUCAUUUAGUAUCAGUAAAGGUCAGUUAAAAUUAUAGAGACAUCCUUUGGAGCAAAUCCUCUGCCUUGUAUUUGCAUAUUUAUGAAUUAGAGAUUACGACAGGCUAUUUCAUUUAUUAGAGCAGCACUGCUAUAGUUAAUAGUCUGUCAGUACUUCCAUUAUAAACCCUGGUUUUCAGUGUUUAAUAUCUCAGCCAUUUAAAAUCACAUCAGGAAGCAAGUUGGUCUUAUGUUGCUGGCCAGGUGCAAUUUUUUGUUAUGGACUAUUUUCAAUAAUGAAAUACUGCUCAUGAUAUAUGCAGAGGAGCCAUUGAAUUUCUGUUGGAGGGACACAGCAAGGUGUGUAGAUUCAUUGUGGCUUUGUUUUUCUUUAGGAAAGAAGGGAAAAGAGGGAUUUGACCAAUCAUGUAAACUGUGGCCUUAUGUUUGAAGAACAGCUUUUCAAGCAACUGCUCUCAGAGGAAACACUGGUUCUCAGUGGGAAAUCAGGUUGCUGUUUGCUUGCCAGUGGUGACCAAGGUAAACAGGGUUGACUGGUGUAAAAAAACAUGCUCACCUCGACCUUCUUUAUUGCUACAUCAAGGCAGCUCACUACAGUUGUACUCUUUGCUACUGCUUGAGAUUUAACUUGUGUCCCCGGUGUGUUGUGAUAAGCCUCUGAAUGGCACUGCUGUGAAGGUUUUGUUCUUCCCAAAGACUCUCCUGAGGUUCAGUGAAGGCAAGUAGAGUUUGCUUGAGUUUAAAGGUAAAUUGUGUAUGUCACUAUAAUAAAGGGAAAUAUGCAAAGUGUUGGUUGAAUUUAAUUGGAAUUUGGAAUGUUUGACUUGUCACAAGGCCAGUUGGUAUUAUGUGGACUUCUGACAUUGUUCAUAGCAGGAGGACCUCACCCCAUGGUGAGUGCCGGGACAAGACCUUGUUAUCGCAUACAUGCAAUUUAAACCAUCUAUAGAAUUUAGUCUUAAGUCUUACUAUCACUUAGUAGUAUAAAAUAAGAAACAUGAUCUGAAAAACAUUAGAGAGAAAUACUGAAGUUUUGCACAUCAAAAAGGCUAAUUAGAAACUCUUUUAUAAUAAAUAAGCCAAGCAUAUUGACAUUAAUUAUAGGAAAUACUCAAGGUUUGAAAUAAUCUAUUGUAGAGCACAGAUGUAUACCAAAUCCUAUGUAAAUGAGUGUGUGCAACUGUUCUUCAAGUAACACAUUUAAUUAUAAAUAUAAGCUGUGUGUUCAGGUUUCUUUUUAAGGAGUAGAACAUCAUAAAUUAGGUUUCUCUCUCUUCCUUGCUCUUACUCAACACAGUGAGAUAGUUAUUUCUGUAGUUAUAUCUAUUAAUCACAGCCUAACAUGCAUUCCAGAGGCUUGGAGCAGAUUCUUCCUGUACCUGAAGUAGUAGUAGUUCUGUUUGCUUUAGUACUAGUAAUUCUGUAGUUGUUCUGUCAGCUUUACUGGAAUUGGAUUGCUGUAACUAGCAGCAGUAUUUGUUUUCUGGUGUUAAAAUUCCUUUGGUUUCAAGAAAGCUAAUGGAAUUCAUAACUGCUUUUGUAUUUUUCAAUCUGUAUCCCAGAGCUGACUAGUGGCAUUGGUUUCUUAAAAAAAUACUAAGGCUACAAUUUGCUACAUUAGUUUUGCCAGUAGAGACUCUUAACAACCUUGAGAAGAAAAUUUCACAUAUCCCUUCUUUUACCCUGUCCAGCUGCAAAGAAAUCCUCUUAACUUUUGAUAGCUUUACUUUAUGAAGGAAAAGUUCUUCCCUGUCAGAGCCAUGACGGGUGGGCUCAGCAGGCUGAAUCACUCCACCCCAAAUGCUCCUUCCAUCUUACUUGCUGCCUCUAUACAGAUGAAAGAUGCUGUGCCUCCUGAUCAAAUUUCAUUAAUGAAUCUCCCAAAUACUUGUCUAAGUGUACUCCAGCUGGGACUGGUAAGCUUCCUGAAGCCUGCUCCACAAUCUUCACACCAUCCUGCAAAUGCCAGGGCUUAGCACUUUUGCUCUUAGAAACACCCAUCUGCAAGGGCAUACGUUGGUAGUGAAUUGGUUGCUCUCUCCCAUCACUAGUAGAGAAUAUUGAUGUUGCCAUUGCUGGUUCAAUUUCUUUAAUUCUCCCAAUUUUCCUAACAAUUGUCUUAACAUUUCACAGGUGUGUCCAGAGCUACUGUGUCAGCAAAAGUUCUAAAAAGCUCAUGGUAAAGUGUCUGCUUUCACCUUUCAGAUUCAAGUUGAUUAAAGGGUUUGAGGAAAAGUGCUGUGGGCAAUGAAGAACAAUGAAGAUCAUUUAGAUGAGCUGCAGUAAAUAAGGAGCACCAUAGUGUGUAAAACUCAAGUGAAGGAGAUGAGAAUCAAACCCAGGCAGAGCAGAGAAGCUGCAAUGCAGGAGCCAGUUCUCCCUGUGCAACCUUUAAGGUAUAUUAGGGCUAAAACCUCCUUUGUGCUAGCAUUGAUGUUUAUUUGCUUUUAUAUCAGCUCUGAAUUUUGCUUAUUGUCACCAGUAAAGAGUCCAGAAUAGGGAUAUCCUGGGUUGAAACAUUACUGUGGCAUACAAUGCCUCCUCCUCAUUUGAAAGUAGAGAUAUAACUCUGUAUGUCAUUAACUAAGACAAUAAUAAAUUAAUACAAUAGCCAAGUAAUAGUGCUGUAAUGCUUUCGUGUAUGAAUUGGAAUGUGAAUACUGAGCUUUUCAUUUCAUGGUUGAAAAAUACAUGAGUUGACCCAAAUAUUAAUUCCUGUAUUUCAAUCAUUUACAUAUUAUGGGUCAAUAAUAAUUUCUUGCACAAAUGACUUUUCAAAUGAGAAGCAGUAUAUUGGAAUGGCCUAUCAUAUUUACAAACAUCUCAUUGUUAUCCUAACUUAGCACUUAGUAUUUAAAACAUACUGGACAUGAUAUUGUUUGCCAAAUACAAUACAAAACUAGGUAAUCUAAAAUUCAGAUACUAUUUUCUUUAAUCCAUAAUUUAUAAUAUUCAUAAACCAUGGAGUGGCAGGCCUCUGCUCCUGGCAGGCCCACACCCACACUUUGGAAUGGGCAUCAUUUUCCAGCAACAGUUUAGGAGACCUGACACUUCUUUCUGCUCUUUCCUGACCUUAAAAAUCUCAUCCCUUUGAGCAGCAAUCCCUCUGAAGAUCCAGCACUGUCAGAAGAACUAAUGGUGAGAGGUUUGAGUUUAUUACAUCCCAGUAUUUCUUUACAGCAUGCAAUGACAUCCAACAAAAUGCCUAGGAUGUCUUUUUUCAAUUACUUUGCAAAGCUAAAAUAGUAUAAAUAAUCUUGAGUUUUGCUUACUGGUAUUGAACUUAGUCCAUCAUUUUGGGCUCACAUUGUUUCAUCAUAUUCUAUGCCUUUAUUAGCCAGCACAUCCCAGCAGAAACCUUUUGUCUUAGAGUAAAUGUGUUCAAGUGUUCAAGUACUGAAUUAAUCAGGGACUAGUGCAACAUAUAUAUGCUGCCCAGCAAGAUGAAUUUACACAUCUGCCUUUUCCCCUAAUUAUAAUUCCAGAGGUUGAAUGUCAACAGCAUAUGGGUAUAUCCUCAAAGAGGCAUGCAAACACACACAUACAGGCACACACACUGUACAUUAAUCUCUCUUGGCUUAUCUGUUGCUGUCUUUAAUUUGUAUACUUCAAAAUUGAGUGGUGAGGUCAUUUAUUAGACUGUUUCUGUGAAUUUUAUGUAGUGAUAAGAAAGCAGUAACAUGCAAUUUGUUUUUAGAGGACUCACUUUUGUAAGUAUGAUCUAAUGUUUUCUUCCUUUAACUGAACAGUGAGGAAGAGGUGAUUUCAGAGCUAACUAAGAGUUAACUGGCUACGUUUCAACUGUCACCAUUGUCUUAAAUCUACAUAGAGAGAGGAGAGAGCCAGAGAGGUCUCCUCCAGCAAUCAGUGGAACUAUUAAUUAACCUGAGGCAGUCCCUGGCCUAUUGCAAGCAUGGCAAGAUCCAUGCAAGAGGGCAGAUAUGAAGGAAGAUACAGGACUCACAUUCCAGCAAAGAUGUCUACAGAGGGAUGUGCUUCCCUCUAGGGAGCCAUCAGGUCCCACUGGCACUGCUGCCUUCUAAAAUGGAUGUUCUUCAGCCUGCAUCACUCAUCCAUAGGACACAGCUCUUUUCAUACCAUCUUCCCCACACAGGGCUGAGGUUCCUAUGGAAAUACUGCCUGUCUGUCUGUCUGCCAGUGGUCCUACCUAUGCCUGUGGUGGGUGCUGAGUCUCAGGUGAGCUACAGGCCACCGUAUUAAAUGCACUCCCAUACCAGUGGUGAGCAAUCACAGCACACCAGUUUGGACAACCAUGUGUUCUCACUGAGCCCUGUUGCACUGUGCAGUAAUUAUAAAGUCAUGAGUCCUAUUUAAAUAUAGGGCAUUCUGUCCUAAACCUUUGAGUGCCCGUGGGUGUGAGUAGGCUCAUUCUCCAAGGAUGUUCUCUGGUCUGUAUACAUGCACCAGCUUCAUCAAAAGGAUGUAGGAAAUGCCAGAUCCAGAUAUAUAGAUUCCACUUUAAAAAAAAAAAAAAAAAAAAAAAAAAAAAAAAAAAAAAAAAAAAGAAGCAGUCCAGGGAUGGCAAAAAUUAAUAGUAAUGAGCUAAUUACUAUACCAGCUGCCUACAAAGAGGGGUCCUGUAGGCAGACUCCUUCUGCUCAUUUGCCUGCUGGUUAAACCACCACUCCAGAAAUUAUAAAACAAAACUUUUUUCCCUUUAUAAACAUCUAUCAGCAUCACCUUAAUAUGGCCCACAGCACCAACACUGCCUAGCUUUUAAGUUCUCAGAAUGCAGCCAGAAUCUCCCCUAGCACAUUAUAACACAUUUUACUGGUUUGAGCAGGGUAGAACGCAGCCAUCUCCUCAAAUGAAUGGCUGGUGAGCUCCAGCAGCCCCUGCACGAGGCUGGGCUCACCAUCUGUGUUCCUGCACACGUCCGAAGCCCGUUCACAAGUGCCAGCCCUUUGAACAGCCAGCCUGUUUUUCUGAUUGAUUCACUUUUUAAUGAACUGGGAAUGCCUGUGAACUUAAACCCUGACACCUCCACCUCCCUGCCUUCCUAGCCAUCCCUGCAGCAAUGUACUGAUUAUAUUUCAAGUUAUUAUGGGAUUAAUACAGCUGCCCCCAGUGUCUCUUUCCCCUGAACUCCAUCAAUAAAAGUUGUGUCCUAGUCUUACUCUGGUUAGUUCAGUUUCUUCCUGAAUCUCUCCCUGUAACCUGUGGUGUGUCAGCAAGGCUGUCUCGUAUCAGCCCUUCAAAGCUGCCAACACUGCUGGUGUUUAAAACCUACUUGUGUCACGGCCUUGCAUAAGCUUUGUGUAUUUAAGAGGACAUCUUGAGCUUUGCUAUGCACCACAUCAGCUCUCUAAGUGGGUAGCACAUACUUAGUAGUAUUGAAAAUAAUGAAAUAAGAUAAUCCACCAAAAAACUUGAAUAGAUUGUGCCAGUGUCAACUUUCUUUGAAUACACAGUAGAGCUAUAAAAAAGUACUUUAUGCAGGCAAGUCAGCACAAGAGAAAAAAUAAGAUGGGGGGAGCAAAAGGCCUGUGCGCAGCAGAGUAAGGUUUUUCACUGACAGCAUUUCUUUAUACAGUACAAGUUUUAGGUUUACUUUUCUUGUUUGUUUAUAGGUUGGGGGUUCCCCCACCCCCCCAGAAAUAUUAGUUUUUAAAAACAUCAUUAAAAAUGUAAUUAACUGGCUUAUUCUUUGGAAUGUGUACAGCUGUUUACAAAAGAAUUGCCACACAAGCUGCCACCUUUGACUGUGUUGAAGCAGGGAGUGAUGUACUUGUUUACAGCUGUGCAUCAAUUUCACAAUAUAUUUAGUUUUGGUACAAGUUACAUAUAAAAUUCUUACUGAGUUUAAUGUUGCAGCAAAUAACACAUACAGUAAGUGAGUAGGAUUUAUCACUGGCUGUAAUGUCGUUGUACAUAUUCAAAAUAUAUAUGGUAAAUGAUAUAUACACAUGCACAUGCAAACAAAAUGGAAAUAUAUUUAGUUUAAGAACUGAUGAAUUGUGCUUGCUUUCAUUAUUCUCAUCUUGUACAUAGGAGAACAGAGAUCAAGCACAUCCAUGCAAAGGGUGGCUGGUUGGGAUCACAUCUGUGAAGCAGCACAGUCACCAAGGAGCAGGUUGGAGAAGAAACAGCACUUUUGUACCCGUGGCAUGAGACAGGGGGGCCCUCAGGAGUCAGAAACCCGCUGUGGUUGGUGGGAUAUAAACAAACCCCAUGGAGAACCAAGAUGCUCCCACAAAGCAUAAAAUAUCUCUCCAGAUUUCAAGUCAACCAGGAAUGGUACAAGCUUGGUCAGGGACUCCAGGCUGGUGAGUUCUGCAAGGCCUAGGGGCAGGAGCACUGUGGCUUCCCCAGAGUAUCACAAACAUACAGUUGCCAGCAAACCCCAGGUGCACACAGGUAAGCCCAUCAGAUUGCUUUAAUCUUUCAUCCCUUGUAUGAGCGUGAAAAUAAUCACCGUGUCAGAUAAACUUCUGCUUUUUAUUAAAAAAAAAAAACAACAAAACAAACCUGUAAGGUAAUUGAUUGCUUUCUUCUAGUCUUUUAUUAGUUAUGAUUAAGGAGCUAUAGUAGUCCUGUUUACACAGCUCUAACAAGUCAGGACCUGCAGAACGUUAUUGGCUUGGGGCCCACAACUUGCUGUCCAUUCUCAACAGAAUCAAUCUGGAGCUGAAAACAUCCCCGUAGGAAGCGUACACAUCUCUGCUUAUACAGGAACAGAAACAGCAAUAACUUCAGGUCCUGUAAGCUGCAAGUUCAACUUACAGAGAUGAGCCCUGACUUGUCAUCGCUCUCAGCAUGUUGGUGAUGAGAUCAGAGCCCUUCACCAAGGACUCAUACUUCCAGCUUGACAAGGGACAGAGGUGGGCAUGUUACACCUCACUGUUACUCACCUCUCCAACUGCAGCAAGGAAUCGAGAGCUCCUCUGUCUAACAUGCAGUCACAGCACUGCCAAUCUAAAAUGGCCGAUCAGUAAUACUUUAAUUGCAGUUUCAUAGAAACAAAUUGCUAUUUAAUUGCAACAAGCUUGUCUGUGGUUUAGCUGGACUGACAAUAGGCAUACACCUGGUAGUAACAGUAACAAGCAGCAAGGAGGGUUAUCUGGUACUGCAUGUACAGAAGUCUCAGGCAGUGCCAUCAAACCCAGAACACAAUUUCACACUAAUUAAAUGUAAUACCUGAAAAAAAUGUAUAUACAUAAAUUUCCUAAUCUCAAUUUGAUUUUUUAUUGUAAUAGAGCUGUUCAGAAUAGAUACUUGCAAAAAGCUGCACACUUCACAUACAACUACCAGCAAAAUACUUUGACAAAAGAUUUAAAUUGAAAUGAUCUUUUGAAAUCACAGAAUCAUGUUGGAAAAGACCUCCGAGAUCAUAGAGUUAAACUGAACACCAUCAUGUCAACCAGACUGUGGCACUCAGUGCCACGUCCAGUCUUUCCUUAAAUACCUCCAGAAUCAGUGACUCCACUGCCUUGAUAGCAAGGCACACUCUGCUACUGUGUGAGUUUCGGGGUUUUUUAGUAUUUACCCUAAAGUUAGGUAAUACAAUUUUUAUCAGUGUUAACUAACAGGGAAAAAGGAAGACAAACUCAGUGUGGUUAAUAUUCUGAAGAUGUGACUUAAUUUCAUAGGCUUCAUUUUGUUAAGACAUUCUCAUUUUAUAUUUCAUAAGAUACUGCAUAACCUGUUAAAAUAUUUAAAGAUAAAUCAUGUAGGACUGAAAAGACAGUAUCUUGUUGCAAACAGAAUUUGGUUUGGAAAGGUUUAAUGUCCCACUGCCUGCCAGGAUGCGUAAAUCUCAUAACUAGACAGCUGGAUAGGUAAAAACAUUAAACCCAUUUAGAGGGCAAUCUUUUUACAAAAUUGUUUCAUUAAUAAGAGUGACAAUUUAUAUGAUUGAGAUGUUUAGAUGCAGUAUAGACAGAGCAUUUUAUCCAGGUUCAUGAGGAUGAUUUCAGAUUAGUAAUAUUUCCUUUGAUUCUUUUUUUAACAGCAUUCAGUUUUGAAAGGGAAGCUCUUACUGAAUGAUUAUUUGACUUUUCAGCAGCACUAAAUGCAGAACUUGUAUUUCAGCCUCAGUUCAGCAAAUACAUGUGAUAAAAGGUGAACAAGUAUGUUUUUCUUUACAGAGCUCCUUAAAAAAAGGUGAUUUUUCACAUAAGGACAAAUCUAAGUGUUUCCAGUAGCCUUCUGCCCACACCUACCAUCCCCAUUACAGCCUGUUUCAUUGUGUGAAAUGCCUCUGGUUUCAAGAAAGUGUUUUACCUAAAGCAAGAAUACUACUGAAAUAUGUUCUAUUGUAUAUUCAUAGCUCCAUUAGUCCUCCUGCAAUUUAGCACAUCAAAGCAAAGGCUUCAUCACUUGCAUGUGGAUUAUGCUAACAUGAGUGACAUUUGUAAUCUUAUAGGUCUGCAACUUAAGAAAUGCUUUUAAAGUAAGCUAUUAAAUAGGUAGCUGUGCUUUACAAAUGAGUCAUAUAAUAGUUUAUUUAAAGCUGUUAAUGAACUUCAACCUCUACAUCACUAAAUGCUAUACUACAUUUCUUACUAGAAGUUAUUAGCCAUCUUCUUAGCACUUCUAGGUUAUAUUGGACAACCAAAAAUCUGUACAUGUUAAAUUUAAACACUGUACCUUGAGUGCUUAUACUAAAAGAAUAUAAAAAGAUGUCUACAGUUUCACUAAUACUUGAAUUCUAUAUUCAUAUGACUUCAAGUGUCUCUUCAAAGAUACUGAAGCAGCACAAUUUGUAGGACUCUGAAGACUUUAAUGCCAGAUCAAAAAGCUUAGAAACUUAUUUAAAAUACCCACAAAGUGCAUUUAAUUAAAAGUGAUACAUAGUGUCAGCCAUUUAUGUUGUGCUUUAUAUGUUAUGCAAGUAGAUUUUUGUCUUUACUGUCUUUUCUCUGAAACUGGGCUUCCUCAAGCACUGGCAUGGUAGAAGAAAAAAUUCAGCAGCCCUCCAAUAUACUAGACAUCAUGAAGUAGAAUCUGAAACAAAAGUAUCUGCUGUUGGAUGUUUAGACAGGUAAGUCUAUAAAUCAGCUUUUUGUGUUAUUGGCAUCACAACAAAAAUAAGUCAAGCUCACUCCAUGACCAAGCAACUGAGCAGUGAACACCUUCCAAAAAACAGAAUUAAACAAAAUAUUGGUGUGUUAUGAAUGUAUUCGUUUCCUAUAAAAGUAGAUUAUUUCUUAAUAUUGAUUUGCUUUGGCAAAGGCAAUCAGCGAGGAAUCAGCAAAGACAGAUUCGUUGCUUGCAGGUUCCUAACUGAGGGCUUCCUUGGCAGCCACAGAUCCAUGUUACUAUUCUUGCUAAAAACAUGAAAAGUCAGAUUUUUUUUUUCUCAAAAGUGUUCUGCACAGAUCUACCACUGAUGGGAAGCUGAUGGGAAAAACAUGCAAAAUGAAGCUGUUCCCUUUGUAAGCUUAGAAGCAGCUCUGUUGCUUUGUGGGGAGGCGCUUUUUGUUUGUUUGCUUUCAGAAAACAGAUCAUAUUUUGAGAUCAGCUAGUUCUCAGAAGCAGCCUAGGAAACAGGUUUUUCUUUCCUUAAGAUUAUCAGUGUUGAAAAGUUAAAGUCUCUCACCCCAGCAAACACAACUUUAUGUUGUUCAGAUCAGAAUAGCUAUUGUAUUCCUUUUCAUGAAUACUCAAUUCUAGUGCUCAGCAUGAGGUACAGACCUUUCAUUGGCUUUUAUUUUUUUGACCUCUUAUGGUAUAUUCAUACCCUCUUAUGCUUGCAUGCUCAGAGACACAGGCACAUCCUUAAAACAGAAGGACCUGGAAAGAAAGAGACCACAGUACCUCUGUGUGUGCUGUAAUUCACUGCAAUGGGAAUUAUCAUGUACUUGUUAUUACCAGAAUUAAGACUCUCCAUGAAAAAAAAAUUUUUUUGAAGUUGUACUUGUUAUCCUUGCCACAAGUAACAUGGUCAAGAAGUUUAGCCGAGUCUUUCUUGGCAUAAGACAAAAGAAAAAAUCCAAACCAAAAAUCUACUUUUAAAGGUAAUUGACAAUUAAGGUAACGACUAUGUAAGAUGAAGUUGCAGAAUGUUUUGAAUGCAAUUAAAAAAAAAAAAAAAAAAGGCAAAGCUUCUAAAACCCAUACUCUGUUUUGUUUUACUUUUUAUUAUUUAAAUACACCAUACUAGAGCAAAUGUCUCUGAAAAUAUCACAAAUAAAAGAUUUUUCUUCAUUCAGCAAAUUAGAAGUAGGUGAAAAUUUCUACACAGUAGCUGCUAGGAGCCUGACUUUUUUUUUUUUUUUCUUUUUUUUUUUGCCAUGGGAAGUAGCAACAUUAGGACAAAAACACUUACAUGCAUACAUACAUUGUAUUUUACAGAGAUACAAUAAAAGUGUUUGUGAUAGAAUAUCACAAAAGCCACAUCUUUAUCUCAUGUUCAGUUUGAUUGAAACACAUUUCCUUACAACACUUAAAUAUACAAAGAGCAAAUAGAAUGUUGUUAAGGUAAAACACAGGGUACAAACUGGCCAGUGCCCUGCUAAUUGUUAAUGAGGGUAGAAAGCAGAUUUCAAUGCUUCUUUUAAUUAGCUUCAUUAGUCAUAUUC